rnacentral:rRNA from 1 species
UACGAAGGGGGCUAGCGUUGUUCGGAAUUACUGGGCGUAAAGCGCGUGUAGGCGGGGCUUUAAGUCAGGGGGGAAAUGCCAGGGCUCAACCUUGGAACUGCCUUUGAUACUGGAGACCUUGAGUCCGGGAGAGGUGAGUGGAAUUGCGAGUGUAGAGGUGAAAUUCGUAGAUAUUCGCAAGAACACCAGUGGCGAAGGCGGCUCACUGGCCCGAUACUGACGCUGAGGCACGAAAGCGUGGGGAGCAAACAGG